UACGUAGGGUGCAAGCGUUGUCCGGAAUUAUUGGGCGUAAAGAGCUCGUAGGCGGUUUGUCGCGUCGAAUGUGAAAACCCGGGGCUCAACUCCGGGCCUGCAUUCGAUACGGGCAGACUAGAGUUCGGUAGGGGAGACUGGAAUUCCGGGUGUAGCGGUGAAAUGCGCAGAUAUCAGGAGGAACACCGGUGGCGAAGGCGGGUCUCUGGGCCGAUACUGACGCUGAGGAGCGAAAGCGUGGGGAGCGAACAGG
rnacentral:rRNA from 1 species